AAUAGAUACCCAGGUAGUCCACGCCGUAAACGAUGAGAACUAGAUGUUAGGGGGCUUAGACCUUUAGUAUCGCAGCAAACGCGUUAAGUUCUCCGCCUGGGGAGUACGGCCGCAAGGUUAAAACUCAAAUGAAUUGACGGGGGCCCGCACAAGCGGUGGAGCAUGUGGUUUAAUUCGAUGCAACGCGAAGAACCUUACCUACCUUUGGAUCCACGGAAUCUUGCAGAAAUGUGAGAGUGCCUUCGGGAACCGUGAGACAGGUGCUGCAUGGCUGUCGUCAGCUCGUGUCGUGAGAUGUUGGGUUAAGUCCCGUAACGAGCGCAACCCUUGUCCUUAGUUACCAGCGAGUUAUGUCGGGGACUUUAAGGAGACUGCCGGUGAUAAACCGGAGGAAGGUGGGGAUGACGUCAAGUCCUCAUGGCCCUUACAGGUAGGGCCACACACGUGCUACAAUGGCCGGUACAAAGGGUUGCCAACCCGCGAGGGGGAGCUAAUCUCAAAAGCCGGUCGUAGUCCGGAUUGGAGUCUGCAACUCGACUCCAUGAAG
rnacentral:rRNA from 1 species